UACGUAGGGCGCAAGCGUUGUCCGGAAUUAUUGGGCGUAAAGAGCUCGUAGGCGGCUUGUCACGUCGAUUGUGAAAGCCCGAGGCUUAACCUCGGGUCUGCAGUCGAUACGGGCUAGCUAGAGUGUGGUAGGGGAGAUCGGAAUUCCUGGUGCAGCGGUGAAAUGCGCAGAUAUCAGGAGGAACACCGGUGGCGAAGGCGGAUCUCUGGGCCAUUACUGACGCUGAGGAGCGAAAGCGUGGGGAGCGAACAGG
rnacentral:rRNA from 1 species